UGCAUCUUAGGUUUAAUGAGAUGAUCGAUGUGAAGAAAGUCUUCUUAUUAACACACCAUAUGAAGAUUUAAAGAAUCUUGAAAUAGAAUUUCUUGAAAACCCAUGAACAAAGGUAGCGGAGCAUCACCGGAAAUAAGACCUAGAAGAGGUUGAAAUAUUGAUGGUAUUGGCUGAAAGCGAUUGUAAUACUCGGGAGAGGAGUUCUAUCGUUACCUUUUAAUGUAACACAAACGUCCAGGUAUCCCCGUUUGUUAAUGCUUUCACUUUCAACCAAUGAAUUAGGAGAAUGAACUGCAAGUUCAUUCCAACUUGCAAGUUUUCAAUUAUAUUAUAAUCAAAA